rnacentral:rRNA from 1 species
GGCUCAGGAUGAACGCUAGCUACAGGCUUAACACAUGCAAGUCGAGGGGAAACGAUAUUGGAAGCUUGCUUCCGAUAGGCGUCGACCGGCGCACGGGUGAGUAACGCGUAUCCAACCUGCCCAUCACUUGGGGAUAACCUUGCGAAAGUAAGACUAAUACCCAAUGACGUCUCUAGAAGACAUCUGAAGGAGAUUAAAGAUUUAUCGGUGAUGGAUGGGGAUGCGUCUGAUUAGCUUGUUGGCGGGGUAACGGCCCACCAAGGCGACGAUCAGUAGGGGUUCUGAGAGGAAGGUCCCCCACAUUGGAACUGAGACACGGUCCAAACUCCUACGGGAGGCAGCAGUGAGGAAUAUUGGUCAAUGGGCGAGAGCCUGAACCAGCCAAGUAGCGUGCAGGAUGACGGCCCUAUGGGUUGUAAACUGCUUUAUAAGGGAAUAAAGUGGGAGUCGUGACUCUUUUGCAUGUACCUUAUGAAUAAGGACCGGCUAAUUCCGUG